rnacentral:sRNA from 1 species
UACCGAGUGCGGGCCCUCUGGGUCCAACCUCCCAUCCGUGUCUAUCUGUACCCUGUUGCUUCGGCGUGGCCACGGCCCGCCGAAGACUAACAUUUGAACACUGUCUGAAGUUUGCAGUCUGAGUUUUUAGUUAAACAAUAAUUAAAACUUUCAACAACGGAUCUCUUGGUUCCGGCAUCGAUGAAGAACGCAGCGAAAUGCGAUAAUUAAUGUGAAUUGCAGAAUUCAGUGAAUCAUCGAGUCUUUGAACGCACAUUGCGCCCCCUGGUAUUCCGGGGGGCAUGCCUGUCCGAGCGUCAUUGCUGCCCUCAAGCACGGCUUGUGUGUUGGGCUUCCGUCCCUGGUAACGGGGACGGGCCCAAAAGGCAGUGGCGGCACCAUGUCUGGUCCUCGAGCGUAUGGGGCUUUGUCACCCGCUCCCGUAGGUCCAGCUGGCAGCUAGCCUCGCAACCAAUCUUUUUUACCAGGUUGACCUCGGAUCAGGUAGGGAUACCCGCUGAACUUAAGCAUAUCAAUAAGCGGAGGAAAAGAAACCAACAGGGAUUGCCUCAGUAACGGCGAGUGAAGCGGCAAGAGCUCAAAUUUGAAAUCUGGCCCCUCCGGGGUCCGAGUUGUAAUUUGUAGAGGAUGCUUCGGGUGCGGCCCCCGUCUAAGUGCUCUGGAACGGGCCAUCGGAGAGGGUGAAAAUCCCGUCUGGGAUGGGGUGUCCGCGUCCAUGUGAAGCUCCUUCGACGAGUCGAGUUGUUUGGGAAUGCAGCUCUAAAUGGGUGGUAAAUUUCAUCUAAAGCUAAAUACUGGCCGGAGACCGAUAGCGCACAAGUAGAGUGAUCGAAAGAUGAAAAGCACUUUGAAAAGAGAGUUAAACAGCACGUGAAAUUGUUGAAAGGGAAGCGCUUGCGACCAGACUCGCUUCCGGGGUUCAGCCGGCUUUCGGGCCGGUGUACUUCCCCGGGGGCGGGCCAGCGUCGGUUUGGGCGGCCGGUCAAAGGCCCCUGGAAUGUAACGCCCCUCGGGGCGCCUUAUAGCCAGGGGUGUCAUGCGGCCAGCCUGGACCGAGGAACGCGCU